rnacentral:rRNA from 1 species
UACGUAGGGUGCAAGCGUUGUCCGGAAUUAUUGGGCGUAAAGAGCUCGUAGGCGGUUUGUCGCGUCUGCUGUGAAAACUCAGGGCUUAACCCUGAGCCUGCAGUGGGUACGGGCAGACUAGAGUGUGGUAGGGGAGAUCGGAAUUCCUGGUGUAGCGGUGAAAUGCGCAGAUAUCAGGAGGAACACCGGUGGCGAAGGCGGGUCUCUGGGCCGAUAUUGACGCUGAGGAGCGAAAGCGUGGGGAGCAAACAGG